UUAACUUAGCCACAAGGCGUCUGUAAAUGGUGGGAUCAUCAAGUAAAAGACCAAAAUCAGCACCCAAUUUUACUGAAGGAUCUAAAAGAUAGGAAACCUUAGCCAUGUGAGAAACAUCAUAUUCAGAGAGGAGAUCAAUGGGGCUACGGUUAUCGUUCUUUUGACGUGGCUUUGCAGCAGUGUUGAGACGAUGCCAUCAUUUCGCCUGCAGAUUUGUAUCUUUUAUUUUUACUUUUUUUAUUUUUUUACAGAUUAGUAUCUUUUCCUCCCAGUGCUUGUGAUCUUGCCUUCUUGUUUUUCUACAUCUAAACUUUCUUGCAGAUUAACAGUGACGAAAAUAACAAUUGGAGAAAUCACUACGCCCUUAUUUCUCCUUUCAAGUCUUUUUAUAAUACUCCUUUGACCCAUAUUUGCCAUGAAAAAAGAUAACAAUGUUUUAUUCAAAUUUUCUAUACCAUUUGUUAUUUUAUGGCAUGCAAACCAAGCCUUAGCUCCAAGCAAAGGACAACAUUAAUUCGGAUUUUGUUGCAGCUUCCAACUUUAAAUUUUCCUUUUGAUCAAUUUCUAUGGUAUCAGCCGUUGUUAAAAAAAAUUAAAUAUAUUUGUGCUUUCAUAAUUGAAGAUGGUUAAUAAGGUUUGUACCUUAGACAUUAGAACUAUAUUUGCUUGCAUUAUUGAUCCAAGUGUAGUUUUAAUGAUCAAACCUUAGACAAAAAUUUCUCAUGGAAGCAUAAAUUCGAGCGUCUCCCAAAUGUUAACAAAGAUUUGUUUUCUUGAUUUUAAUUAGUAACCAUUGAAGGUUAAUCAAUUUGUAAGGACUGGUUGAUCCAAUGACCAAGUGAUUUUGCAGGCUGAGUUUGAGACUUUGUUAAAAAGAUGCGAGUUUAGGUUGGUGCUGAACUGAGAAACCAAGAAAGUGGCACAACUGGGGCCCUGUUGAAGUACAAGUUGAAAAUUUUGAAGUCAUAUUUGUCGGAGCACCAACAAUUCCAAUAGAAGCACCAAAAGGCUCGAUGUGACCAUUAAUGAUGAAUAGCUUAAUUUUUGAUUGGGAACUCUCCACUCUUUAUUAUAUGUAAUAAAAAUCUUAUACUAUAUAAUUAUUCAUUAAUUGUUC